GACGAACGCUGGCGGCGUGCUUAACACAUGCAAGUCGAACGGAAAGGCCCUGCUUUUGUGGGGUGCUCGAGUGGCGAACGGGUGAGUAACACGUGAGUAACCUGCCCUUGACUUUGGGAUAACUUCAGGAAACUGGGGCUAAUACCGGAUAGGAGCUCCUGCUGCAUGUUGGGGGUUGGAAAGUUUCGGCGGUUGGGUAUGGACUCGCGGGUUAUCAGCUUGUUGGUGGGGUAGUGGCUUACCAAGGCUUUGACGGGUACCCGGCCUCAGAGGGUGACCGGCGGCCUAGGGACUGAGAUACGGCAGCGGCUCGUAAGGGAGGCAGCAGGGGGAAAUAUUGCACAAUGGGCGGAGGGCUGAUGCAGAAACGCCGCGGGCGGGAAAACGGCCUUCGGGUUGUAGACCGCUUUCGCCUGUGACGAAGCGUGAGUGACGGUAAUGGGUAAAGAAGCACAGGCUAACUACGUG
rnacentral:rRNA from 1 species